AGUGAACGCUGGCGGUAGGCCUAACACAUGCAAGUCGAACGGCAGCACCGUAAUUGCUUGCUCUUACGGGUGGCGCGUGGCGGACGGUUGCUUUAUACAUCGGAUUCUACUUUUUCGUUUGUGCUAACGUAGGGAAACUUACUCUAAUACCGCAUACGACCUACUUGUGACAGCCGGCGAUCUUCGGACCUUUCGCGUUUGAAUGUGCCGAUGUCGGGUUAGCUAGUUGGCGUGGUAAAGGCCCACCAAGGCGACGAUCCGUAGCUCUUCUGAGAGGAUGAACAGCCACACGGGAACUGAGAAAGGGCACAGACUCCGACGGGAGGACGCAGUGGGGAAUAUUACGGAAUGGGCGAGAGCCUGAUCCAGCGAUACGGCGUGAGGGAAGAAGGACUUAGGGUUGGAAAACCAUGUUGGUGGGAAAGAAGAGAAGUAGGUUAAUACCGCGCGGUAAUGACGGUACCCAAAGAAGAAGCACCGGCUAACUUCGUG
rnacentral:rRNA from 1 species